rnacentral:ncRNA from 1 species
ACUUGAAAAGGGCAAACCAAGCGAGAGCUUGAGGCGCAAAGUGACCGGUCUGACGGCUUCGGCCAAGACAGCGGGACUGCCAAG